AACGAACGCUGGCGGCAUGCCUAACACAUGCAAGUCGAACGAGACCUUCGGGUCUAGUGGCGCACGGGUCCGUAACGCGUGGGAACCUGCCCUUAGGUUCGGAAUAACUUCCCGAAAGGGGUGCUAAUACCGGCUAAUGUCUCCGGUCCAAAGAUUUAUCGCCUUUGGAUGGGCCCGCGUUGGAUUAGCUAGUUGGUAGGGUAAAAGCCUACCAAGGCGACGAUCCAUAGCUGGCUUGAGAGGAUGAUCAGCCACACUGGGACUGAGACACGGCCCAGAAUCCUACGGGAGGCAGCAGUGGGGAAUAUUGGACAGUGGGCGAAAGCCUGAUCCAGCAAUGCCGCGUGAGUGAUGAAGGCCUUAGGGUUGUAAAGCUCGUUUACCCGGGAUGAUAAUGACAGUACCAGGAGAAUAAGCACCGGCUAACUCCGUG
rnacentral:rRNA from 1 species